rnacentral:rRNA from 1 species
AACGUAGGACACAAGCGUUAUCCGGAGUUACUGGGCGUAAAGGGCGUUUAGGCGGGUGACUAAGUUCGCUAUGAAAGCGCCGGGCUAAACUCGGCGAGGCUGGCGGAUACUGGUCAUCUGGAGUGAGUCAGAGGAAGGUAGAAUUCCGCGUGUAGUGGUGAAAUGCGUAGAGAUGCGGAGGAAUACCGGUGGCGAAGGCGGCAUCCUGGACCAUUACUGACGCUGAGGCGCGAAAGCUAGGGGAGCAAACGGG